ACCAUUGACGCCGCGUGAGGGAUGAAGGCCUUCGGGUUGUAAACCUCUUUCAGCAGGGAAUAAGCGAAAGUGAAGGUACCUGCAGAAGAAGCACCGGCUAACUAUGUGCCAGCAGCCGCGGUAAUACAUAGGGUGCAAGCGUUGUCCGGAAUUAUUGGGCGUAAAGAGCUCGUAGGUGGUCGAUCACGUCGGAUGUGAAAAUCUGAGGCUUAACCUCAGACCUGCAUUCGAUACGGGUUGACUGGAGUGUGGUAGGGGAGACUGGAAUUCCUGGUGUAGCGGUGGAAUGCGCAGAUAUCAGGAGGAACACCGAUGGCGAAGGCAGGUCUCUGGGCCAUUACUGACACUGAGGAGCGAAAGCGUGGGGAGCGAACAGGAUUAGAUACCCUGGUAGUCCACGCCGUAAACGGUGGGCGCUAGUUGUGGGAACCUUCCACGGUUUCUGCGACGCAGCUAACGCAUUAAGCGCCCCGACUGGGGAGUACGGUCGCAAGACUAAAACUCAAAGAAAUUGACGGGGCCCCGCACAAG
rnacentral:rRNA from 1 species